CCCUAUAUAUUAAUAGUCUUCCUAAUAUCAAGUCAGUAUAUCUCGCAACGAUGGCACAAUACAAUUUUGAAGGUGAUUUUGCAAGUCUAAACGCACGACAACUGGAUUAUAUUAACGAAGUGAUCCUGGAACAAGAUGUUAAAGUAAAAAAAGUGGUUUUCCAGCAGCUUGGUCAGGCUGGUGAUAAUUUUAUGGGAAAUGUUAAAAGGAUCAUCGUCGAAGGAGAAAAUGAAACUUUAAGAAUGAUUCUUAAAAUUGCAAGCUCAAAUGAAAUGACUCGUCUAACCUAUAACACUGGACUCAUGUUCAAGAAUGAACAUAUUAUGUACACAGAGGUGUUGCCGAAAUUUGUACAGGUGCAGAAAGACGCAGGGGUGCCGCAAGAAGAAUGGCUGAGAUACGCGAAAUGUUACGGAUCUCUUAAUGAAGAACCCAAUGAAGUCAUUCUUCUAGAAGAUCUUAAUGAUUCAAACUUCAGUAUGAUGGACAAAUUCAAGAGUCUUCCAGAUGAAUAUGUUAGGAACUUCUUGAAAACUUUUGCUGUGUUCCAUUCUCUUUCUUUUGUAAUGAAGAAACAAGAUCCAGAAACUUACAAUAAGUUAAGAGAAGAGUUGAGAGAUACUUGGGAACGUAUUGCUGAAAGUGAGCAAUCUAUGAUGUUCAUGGAAAAUAUUGAAAAAGACAUUACAGCAAUCAUAGAAGACGAGACUUAUAAAAAUUUGUUUAAAAAUAAAAUAACUGACGGAUUUAAAUUGCGGAAAAUUCGCAAUUCAGAAAAGGAUACUAAUUAUACGGUUAUUCAGCACGGUGAUGCGUGGACUAAUAAUAUCAUGUUUAGAGUGGUAGACGAUUCAAUACAAUCAUGCUUGGUCGACUUCCAAGCUUCAAAUGACAACAGCCCAGUGAGCGAUAUCCUUUUCAUGAUCAUCAUAUGCACUGACCAUGAAAUGAGAGCUCAGAACUUCCACGACUGGAUAGACUAUUAUCACACGAAGUUGGAUAAAUCCUUAUCGUACUUUGGUCUAAGAGCUGAUAACGUUUACCCCCGAGAUCAGUUAGAUGCAGAUCUGAAAAGAUAUGCCAAACCACUAUUGGCUAUUUCUCUUCUAAUCACAAAUCUUGCGAUGAGGGAUUCUAAAGAAGCUGGCGUGGUUAUAGAUAAUAUGAGGAAUAUGGAACAUGAAGAUGAUUUGGUAGAUACAAUGAAAUCUGACUCCUUGGAAAAGGGAACCGUUGCGCGUAUUAAUAAGAAAAUUGGUGGAUUUAUUGAGUCGUACAAUAAAUUUGAUUUGUUUUAAGCGAUGAAUUUUACAUAAAUUAUUAAUAUACCUAUAUACGUACUAUCUUAAACUGUUUGACUAUCGAAAUCAGAUCAUGUUGACAUGUACAUAGUAAGGUACAUGAUCAUCAUCAUAUCUAUUACCGUCCACGCUUGUAGGCCUCCCCCAGCAGGCGUAAUUUACUUAACUUCACAAUACCAAUUUUAAUUAAUUCACUGUGCAUUCUUCUGCAGCACAUAUGUAUGGACAUUUAAAGAAGUUUGACAUUUGGUUUUUACAAUUGAGGGUUUUCCAUUUUAGAAGAUUAGUCUACAGUAGGUAAUAUCCGAUCAAAACAAGCCGUCAUAGAGUAUCUCCGAUUAGUUAUCUCAUUCUUAUCUCAUCAUGUUUUAUCUUGUAUAGACAAGUAUAUCUUACAACUGAUCUCCUGCGAUGAAGUCCUUAUACUUGAAGUUUUUCAGAGUUUAGGUUUUAUACCUACUUCAAUUCAGUUUUAAAUCUACAAUAGAACAUUCAGACAUCAAUAAUUUCUAAGUAUACUCUCUUUUCGCUUCAUACUUAAUUCUGCUGUUUACUAAUUCAUCGGACACUGUAUUUACUGGACAAUCGUGUCACAAAUUAAGAUUACGUUUAUAUAUUUUCGAUUUGUCUUAUAUACAUAUUUAGUGCACCUGCCAUGAAAUUUCUCCUCCACGUAAAGGUUGACUGGUAGACAACGCCUAAGGCGUUAAGUCCACCUUUGUACAUUGUUUUUUUUUUUUUGUAAAAUGUGUGCAAAAAGUAUAAUAAAUAAAUAAAUUGUAAAUAUCUACAUACAUGUUAAAUUAGGUUACCAAGUUUAUUGUUUAUAUUAAGUUAAAAUUUUGUGUACUUAAAUGUUUGAAUGUCAAUAUAACAGAAUUCAUAUAAAAGAGUUAUGAAUUAAACUCUUGUACAAUUAAGCAUGUUUCUACAUGAAUUAAAUAUAUUGAGAGAGAGACGUAUAAUCCUAAAGAUGAUAACCAAUUUUCUAUCCAAGUACAGGUCAACGAAAACUGGAGUUUAUUGCAUCAUUGUCUAUUAUGUUUUUAGUUUAAUCCAAGACAAUCCAUAAUCUUAUCACAAAUAUAUCUGAUUAAUAGUGACUCGGCAUAUUGACGAUAACAGAUCCAAUAAAUUAAAGUUACUUUUGUCAUUCGAGUUAGUACAAUUUGCAAUCAUGGCGAAAUACAACUUCGAAGGCGAUUACUCCAGUUUUAAUGAUCGCCAACUAAAUUUCAUCAAUGAAGUGGUUAAUGAACAAGAUUUAAAAGUAAAAAAAGUUGUUUUCCACCAACUUGGACAAGCUGGUGAUAAUUUUAUGGGAAAUGUGAAAAGGAUCAACAUAGAAGGUGAAAAUGGUAAUAUGAAAAUGAUAAUUAAAAUUGCACCUUCGAAUGAAGUGGCUCGACAAACGUACCAAAGUGGAUUAAUGUUCCGAAAUGAGCAUGUUGUAUAUACGAAGGUAUUGCCAAAGUUUGUGCAGCUUCAGAAAGCCGCUGGUGUACCACAAGAAGAACAAUUGAAAUACGCGAAAUGUUAUGGAUCUCUCAGUGAAGAACCCAACGAAAUAAUAAUUUUGGAAGAUUUGAGUGAAUCAGGUUUCAGUAUGAUGGAUAAGUUUAAGAGUCUACCAGAUAAAUAUGUAAGAAAUUUCUUAAAGAGCUUCGCUGUACUUCAUUCUCUUUCUUACGCAUUAAAAAGUCAAGAACCAGAAUUUUACAAGCAACUUAAAGAAGAUCUAAAGGACCCAUGGUCAACCUUCGGAGAUUUUCAAAUUCAAAUGCUCAAAGACACAAUGGAAGCUAGAUUUUUAGAAAUUAUUCAGAAUGAAGAUCAUAAAAAUUUGCUUAGAAACAAAAUCACUGAUGGUAUACUUGAGAGAAAAAAAGUGACCGAAUCUGAGAAUGAUAGAAAUCAUACAAUUAUUCAACAUGGCGAUGGAUGGACAAAUAACAUAUUGUUUAAAUUGGAAGAUGACAAGCUACAAUCAGUCUUGCUCGACUACCAAGGGGCCAAUAACAACAAUCCCAUGAGUGAUAUUCUCUUCAUGAUCUUCCACUGCACCGACCAUGAGGCCAGGUCUAAACACUUCCACGACUGGAUUGACUACUACCACUCAGAAAUGGACAAUUUCCUCUCCUACUUCGGUCUUAAAGUCAACGAAUUCUACACAAGAGAUCAAAUAGAUGCAGACUUGAAAAAAUAUGCCAAAAUCAUUCUUGGUAUUGUGCUUUUAAUGAUUAAUGUUAUACAAAGGGAUAGUAGUGAAGCUGGUAAAUUGAAAGAUUCUAUGAAAAAUAUGGAAAACGAAGCUGAUAUUGCUGAUACUAUGAAUACGCUAGACCUACAAAGUGGAACUGUUGAACGUAUUAAUAAGAAAGUUGGUGAACUUAUUGAAACUUUACAUCAAUUCGACCUAUUUUAAUACUGUAAUGAAUAUUUUAUACUACUUAAUAUAUGGCGUUGUUAAGGUUAAGGCUUUGGUGUGAUUUUAUACCAUUAACGUUUCAAAAAAUAAAAAAUCACUCUCAAUGA
rnacentral:misc_RNA from 1 species